CUCGUCGUGGUCCUCGACGUCGAUAUCCCUGCGCGCUCGCAGCCGCCUAUUAGGCUUACAGCCCCGGGGCUCGGUCUAGGGACGCAACAACGACAAGCGCGAGCGAGCAGCGGCCACUCGCAAGCCAAUCAUAUUUAACUGUCGGCCGCGUGCUACCGGCGCCCCAGUACUCGCUCUUCUCGCUUACCUGUCACUUGCUGCAGUUCAGUGUUACGACGUGCUCGGCUUGACUGGCACUGUUGGUGGCGGUAGCUCGACUAUUGCCUGUCCUACAGUCGGCUCUUUAUUCCACUUUUUUUUUCCGGUAAUAGGCGAGGAAAGGUUGACAGUCGCUAGUAUCGUCGUUUAACAAGCAGCGAGACCGGACGACGGCUUCUUGCACAAGAAUUAAAUUCGUAAUGGCACCAAAUAUUACUAGUGCACCAACUGGAGUACUUUUUGAAGAAGAAACUCUUGAAAAUUUACCAAGGCAUCAAUUGGUUAAUGAAGAAACGAAAGAGAAAAUUGAAUAUAAAUUGCAAAUUGUUUGGAAGAAUGUAUUUAUAUUUCUUUUUCUUCAUAUUGGAGCACUGUAUGGAAUCUACCUUAUUUUUACAUCAGCUAAAAUUGCUACAACAAUAUUUGCAUUUCUUUUAUAUCAAGCUAGUGGAAUUGGAAUUACAGCAGGUGCACAUAGGCUUUGGUCACACAGAUCAUACAAAGCUACUUGGCAACUACGUCUUUUAUUAAUUAUCCUUAACACACUUGCUUUUCAGGAUGCAGCUGUAGAUUGGGCAAGAGAUCACAGAAUGCACCAUAAAUAUAGUGAAACUGAUGCUGAUCCACACAAUGCAACGAGAGGUUUCUUUUUCUCACACGUCGGAUGGUUACUUUGUCGAAAACAUCCUCAAAUCAAAGAGAAAGGCAAAGGGAUUGAUCUAUCCGAUCUUAAGAGCGAUCCGAUUCUGAAAUUUCAAAAGAGGUACUAUAUUUAUCUCAUGCCACUGGUUUGCUUUUUUAUUCCUAUGGUGAUUCCUGUUUAUUUUUGGAGUGAAACUUGGGCAAACGCUUAUUUUAUUCCAACUAUUCUGCGGUAUACAUUUACCUUGAAUAUGACAUGGUUAGUAAAUUCUGCAGCUCACUUAUUUGGAAGAAAACCGUACGACCAAUAUAUAAAUCCCUCAGAAAAUAAAGGUGUUGCAAUAAUGGCCCUUGGUGAAGGAUGGCAUAAUUAUCACCAUGUCUUUCCUUGGGAUUACAAAACAUCUGAACUGGGAAACUACGCAUUUAAUUUUACUACAGCCUUUAUUGACUUUUUCUCUCGCAUUGGAUGGGCGUACGAUCUUAAAACAGCUUCAAUUGAUAUGGUUAAAAAAAGAGUCGAAAGAACUGGAGACGGCACACAUGAAGUUUGGGGUUGGGGUGAUAAAGAUCAAACACAAGAGGAACGAGAAGCUGCAAUAAUUAUCAAUCAUGUCAAAGACCAUUAAAACUACAACUGUAAAAAUUUAUAUAAAAUGAAGUAGCUUAAUGUACAUCUUUAUAUGCCUUCCAUCGUUCAUAAAAUUUAAUGAGUGACGUUAACUGAGACUGGACUGUUGCAACACUAGUCGAACAAAAAUAAUUCUCAAUCAGAAUUUUUUAUUUCAAUUAUAUUAUAAAAGCGUUUCGGGCACUAUCAGUUUUAAUAAGAUCUAUUUCAUAUAGUCAAUUGGCAAAUAUAAUUUAAAACUAAAUAAUAUCUCAAAAACAACUGCAGCUACUAUAAGUGAAUUGCUUGAGCCUAAUUAAAUAUUUAUUAGAAAAAUUUAUUGCAUCAUACAAAAAUUAACCAUUCUUUCUAUUCUGAAGAUAAAUCGAAAUAAUUUAAAAUGACUACCUGGUACCUGUAUUAAAGCAUCAAACAUUGUUUCUCAAAAAAACAAUAUAUUGCACACUAUAGCUAGCAUACCAGUAAGCUAUGAGAAACAUACAUCUUUAAAUGCGAAAUACAAAACUUAGAUAUAUAUUUGUGAAUAUUUAAAUAACAUAUAUAUCAUUAUAAAUACAUAAGGACAAACAUCUGUGAAAUUAAUAAUCUUGCAGUAUGCUGUAACUAUUAGUAAAUCAAUUGUUUGUAUACCAAAUUUUGCAAACGCUGCAGUGCGGUGUCGACAAAAUCCCAAAAUUUAUUUGUAAUUUUUUAAAUAAUUAUUCUUACUGCAAAUGUGAUUUACAAACUCAAAUUGUGAAAUUACAUAACAGUAUAAAGCGUGAUAUUAUAUUGAUGAAUCAACAUCUAAGAUAGCCUAAUAAGGUUCCACGUAGCAAAAAAUACCCUACGUGAAUGUGUAAUGCGUUGAUUAUUAACGUUUAAUAUUUAUUAUAUAUAUUAAAAUAAACGCUAGUUUACAUUUUGUUUUA